UACGAAGGGGGCUAGCGUUGCUCGGAAUCACGUGGCGUAAAGGGUGCGUAGGCGGGUCUUUAAGUCAGGGGUGAAAUCCUGGAGCUCAACUCCAGAACUGCCUUUGAUACUGAGGAUCUUGAGUUCGGGAGAGGUGAGUGGAACUGCGAGUGUAGAGGUGAAAUUCGUAGAUAUUCGCAAGAACACCAGUGGCGAAGGCGGCUUUCUGGUCUGUAACUGACGCUGAGGCGCGAAAGCGU
rnacentral:rRNA from 1 species